CUGCAGCCAAUUAAGCCAACUAUGCUGCCCUCUCCAUGGCACCCGGAGUGCAGUGGCUGCAAACAGCAGCCUCCUGGGUAGUGUAUGCAGCCUGUUGCUUGUAUAGGCUGUCCUAAGGGACCCUGGAGACAGCC
ensembl:snoRNA SNORA70 Small nucleolar RNA SNORA70